rnacentral:rRNA from 1 species
AGUGAACGCUGGCGGUAGGCCUAACACAUGCAAGUCGAACGGCAGCACAGUAAGAGCUUGCUCUUACGGGUGGCGAGUGGCGGACGGGUGAGGAAUACAUCGGAAUCUACUUUUUCGUGGGGGAUAACGUAGGGAAACUUACGCUAAUACCGCAUACGACCUACGGGUGAAAGCAGGGGAUCUUCGGACCUUGCGCGAUUGAAUGAGCCGAUGUCGGAUUAGCUAGUUGGCGGGGUAAAGGCCCACCAAGGCGACGAUCCGUAGCUGGUCUGAGAGGAUGAUCAGCCACACUGGAACUGAGACACGGUCCAGACUCCUACGGGAGGCAGCAGUGGGGAAUAUUGGACAAUGGGCGCAAGCCUGACCCAGCCAUACCGCGUGGGUGAAGAAGGCCUUCGGGUUGUAAGGCCCUUUUGUUGGGAAAGAAAAGCAGCAGGUUAAUACCCCGCUGUUCUGACGGUACCCAAAGAAUAAGCACCGGCUAACUUCGUG